rnacentral:other from 1 species
GAUUACCUGAGGUGUUUGCCCGCGGAUUACGUCCCUGAGCCGAUACUUAAAACUUUAUGAAUUGGUUUCCUAUUGUUGGUGUGCACGCUUAACUUGACUCCGGUCCUGAUGUAAGAAGCCUAAAAACGAUUACAACCGAUUCCCUUGAACCGUAGGGUUCAAGGACCGACCAUCCGCAGCGGCAUCUCGGGUCCUUU